UCUAGCCUGCCCAAUGAGUAAUUAAAUGGCCGCAGUAUUUUGACUGUGCAAAGGUAGCAUAAUUAUUAGUUUUUUAAUUGAGAGCUUGCAUGAAAGGUUGGACGAGAUAAAGUCUGUCUUUAUUUAAAUUAAAGUAGAAUUUAACUUUUAAGUUAAAAGGCUUAAAUGAAUAUAAAAGACGAGAAGACCCUAUAGAUCUUUAUUUAAUUUAAAAUUUUAAUAAUUUAGGAUUAUUAAAAUUUAAAAUUUUAAUUAAAUUUUAUUGGGGUAAUAUAAAGAUUUAAAUAAUUCUUUUUAUUUAUAUCAUUGAUGUAUGAAUACAUGAUCCAUUGAUUUUGAUUAUAAGAUUAAGUUACCUUAGGGAUAACAGCGUAAUUUUUUUGAAGAGUUCUUAUCGAUAAAAAAGUUUGCGACCUCGAUGUUGGAUUAAAAAUAACUUGGGUGCAGAAGCUCAAGAUUUUGGYCUGUUCGACCAUUAAAUUUUUACAUGAUCUGAGUUCAAACCGGCGUAAGCCAGGUCGGUUUCUAUCUUUAUUAAAUUAAAAUAUUUUAGUACGAAAGGACCAAGUAUUUAAUAUAUUUAUAUGUAAUUUUUGAAUAAUAUU
rnacentral:rRNA from 1 species